AUCCCUCAUCCCCCUCUCUAGACUCUCUCUCCACCAAAAGUAAAUCAAUCACCACUCACACAGAGCUCCCUCUUCACACACAUAGACACCAAUUCAAAAGAAAAAAAGAAGAAGAAAAACUCUUCCCAAACCCCAAACACUCUCUCCUGGCUCGCUCUCCCUCUCACUAGAAACAUACUCCAGAACCCAUACAAGACAAACACCUCACUCUUGUCCUCUACCCUCUCUCACAUACCACACACAAGAAAAAGAAAAAAUGGGAGGAAAGAAAGAGGAGACAAAAUAAUGUGAGUAGUUCAAGGUCAAUUGGAAAACCACCACCACCACCACCAUAUCACUCAUCACCAUAAAGGACUCGAGAGAGUUCAGGAGGACGAACCAGGGUUGAAGUGAAAGAUUUCGAUUGAUUGGACGUACUGGUGAUCCAAGAAGUACUUCGGCGGGGGAACGUUUGAAUUUGUUUUACUUGAACUGGGAACCACACUUUGAACCGUGAUUUUGAGAAAAGGGUUGAACUAGUGUAAACGUUCUUUUGUUAGCUCUUGUGUAAUCAAAACCCUAAUUGUCUUUUAAUUAAGUAUCACGUUUUUAAUUGUAAAGUUUGCAAUGUAUGUAUAUAAGUGUUUUAUCAUGUACAUUAAGUGUAUUCAUUGGAGAUGGUACCUUUGCGUUUGUUGAGAUGCUACUUGUAACUAUUGGACGAUCGGACGAGCGCAGCAUUUGAACAAGGAAAGAAAAUUCGGGCUGGAACUGUUCACCAAAUCUGGCCAUGUAUCCGACCAGUUCUUAACUGGAUAUCUGGCCGGAUUAGUAAGGGUUUUGAAAAAUUUUUGGGUUACUAACUGCCUCAUAUUUGGCAAGCGAUCCGGCCGAAAAUCUGGCCAUACCUUGGCCGGAUUGUGAUGUGUCCGUUUUUCAUUUGCAUUUUCGUCUUCAUUUUCGUUUCCUUUGGGGCGUUUGAUUGAAAUACCAUGGUACCUUAUGGUGUAGAACUCAUGUUUCUCAACUUAGAAGUCUUCGAUUGAUUGUUCUCUUGGGGAUUUGUUGUGCGCUAUAUCGGGUUUGUGUGAUUUAACUCCGUAGUCCUGGCGAGAGUUGGACAGGUGGUCCGCCGAACCCUUUGGUUCGCCUUAUGGUAAGGUGGGGCUGUCACAGAAAUAAUGUGUAUAAUCUUCAUGU